GACAGCAGUCGCCGCGGGAAUACAGAGGGUGCGAGCGUUAAUCGGAUUUACUGGGCGUAAAGCGUGCGUAGGCGGCUUUUUAAGUCGGAUGUGAAAUCCCUGAGCUUAACUUAGGAAUUGCAUUCGAUACUGGGAAGCUAGAGUAUGGGAGAGGAUGGUAGAAUUCCAGGUGUAGCGGUGAAAUGCGUAGAGAUCUGGAGGAAUACCGAUGGCGAAGGCAGCCAUCUGGCCUAAUACUGACGCUGAGGUACGAAAGCAUGGGGAGCAAACAGGAUUAGAUACCCCGUAGUCCCUGUCUCUUAUACA
rnacentral:rRNA from 1 species